UUGUCAAAAAAGGACACGAUUUUGAAGCAAAAGAUUUAAUUUCUGAUCCUGGCUCAAUUUUUUUUGAAAAUUCUAAUCAAAGUUCCAAAAUAAUUUCCCGCCUCCUGCGAAGAAACUCCGCUAACCCCCUAACGCAUUCCUGGCCCGCCACUGUAGCUUAUUAUGAUGAUCGCCACCAUGUACAAGCUAGGUUCCUCCUUAGAUUAUGAUGAGGAUAACGAUUUCUAUUUUGAACACGGUUCACAUGAUAAACGCUUAUACCGUCUACCACAAACUGCAAGGAAAACAAUGAAAUGAAAAAUAAACAGAGAUUUGAAUUAAUUUUUACCUAUUAACGUUUUGAUUGAUUUCCAGUACAUCAUCCACCAAUCAUGAAAGGCGAGAAAGAUAGAAACCAAAAAAAUAAACUUACAUGACCGUCUAUCAUGUUUCCAAUUAGCGAUGGACGAGUUCGGUGCGGCAUGAUUUGGACAUGAUUCGGAACACGAUUCAAAUUGAUACCAUCCCUAAUAAACUGCAAGAAAAAUAAUGGAAUUGAGAAAUAAACAAAGAUUUGAUUUGAUUUGGACAUAUCGAUCUUUUGAUUGAUAUCUAGUACAUCAUCCAUCAAUCAUCAAAGAUAGAAAGAUAGAGACCAUAAAAAUAAACAUACAUGCCCGUCUAUCAUGUUUGGAAUUGGCGAUGGACGAGGUCGGGGCGGCAUGAUUUGGACAUAAUUCGGAUUAACACGGUUCACAUUGAUAUCAUCCAUUAUAAACUGCAGAAAAAUAAUGGAGUUGAGAAAUAAAUAGUGAUUUGAUAUAAUUUGGACAUAAAAAUCUUUUGAUUUAUUUCUACUACAUCAAUCCAUCAAUCAUCAAAGGUAGAAAGAUAGAGACCAAAAAAACAAACUUACAUUCUCGUCUACCAUGUUUGGAACUGGCGAUGGACGAGGUCGGGACGGUAUGAUUUGGUCAUGAUUCGGAACACGAUUCACAUUGAUUCUAUCUGUUAUACACUGCUAGAAAAACAAUGGAGUUGAUAAAUAAACAAAGAUUUGAUUAAUUUUAAAAAAUUUACCUUUUGAUGGAUGGUUUCGAAUUCCGUAUGUGCCGCAGUGAGAUCGUCAAUAAGCUGAUUAACAUCCAGUUCUUGAGAGCCUUCGUUAGCCAUAGGAGGUGGGAUUGGAUUGAAAGCACCAAUGUAAAGAAAGAGAGAUCGAGAAUUCCGACGAUAGCCGGAGAGUCGCCAAACAACAAAUUAAAGAAAGAAAGUGAUUACAAUAAAACUUGUUAUCCUUCUACUGAACUUCAUAUAACGUAUUUAUAGGGUUGCCAUGUUCUAGUCUUAGACCUCACAGACGACUAUGGGCCGCUAAUCCAGAUCUAUGUUAUUAGUGGUGAUAUAAUUACUAAAUUACGAGCCAUUAAUUUUCAAUUAUGGAAUUAGUGGAGGUGGAGGGCUUACCAAUAAUAAACGAAAACUAAAAGCGGAAUAUUGGAAAAAUGUGGGGAUCUUUAAGCAAAAUUCAUUCAUGAAGAAAUGUUGUAGAUCUUUGAAUAUAUAAGGGUUAAUCAGAAAUUUCCCAUAGUUAAUGAGGAAUCCUUGGUAGGCUUGAGGUAGUAACAAGGAUCGUAAAUGAAGAAAUAUCCAUGAUUCCGAUAAUAGAUAUUAAAUCUUUCAGCUGUGUUGAUAAAUGGAAAUCCAAAGGUAAUAAAGAAGAGGAAACAACGUCAAGAAGAGACGAAUGUGUGGAAAUAGAGAGAGAGAGAGAGUUCUCCAUAUGAUACCUCGAAGGUAAAAGAAACAAUCCAUGUCAAGGACUCUGAGUUUUGUCACAGAAGCUGUUUGAGCUACUAGGAUUUUAUUUUGCCCUGAUUUUGCUCUAAUAAUGGGUUUCAAUUUUGCCCUAAUUUUGCUCAAAUAUCGGGUUUUGAUUUUGCCCUAAUUUUUCAUUUUGGGUCUAGGUUCCUGUAAAUACGACUUUUAUCGACAUUUUCCCAAAAUCCACACUAUUAUUAUUACUCAUUCUAUUAAUUUGAUCGGACAUUAAGACAGUUUAAGCACUUCAGAUUGUAAUCUAUGAAAGAGAAUUUUUCAUAAGUGGCUAAACUGAAAAAACCAAGCAAAAUUAAAGGAUAAUGAUUGUUGUGUCAAAACUCAAAAGUUAUAAUGUCUGAAUUGAAGACUUGUUUUUUCAAAUUAUCAUGUACCAAACGUGCGAAUAUUUGAUUCUAAAUUUUUUAGUUCUACUGCACAGUUGGAACAAUGGCAUACCGGAAGAGGACUGCUAUAGUAUUUUUUUGGAGAUGGCAUUUUAGCUCAUGUGGUAAAUGUAAUUGUUUUAGAGCUAUUUUUCUUCUGGUAUACGCCGAUCUUAAACUGUGGUGGGAUCUCUGUCGUAGAUGACGUUUUCCGAGGCACAUAAAAGGGGACGUCGUAUUUGAAGUUUAUCUAUUAGUUGGUCACCGAUUAUCUGAAUAAAUAAUAUUCAUUCGAUUGGACUAAAUCCUCACAUGGUAUUAGCAUCACACCUAGAUUUUGUAUCCAUUUUUUAUAUUGCCCAAUUCAUAUUAAGCAUAUGUAGGACAGGAAAGAACACCAUGGUAAUCGAUUUCAAUGUCGUGAUGACACAUACGAUGUUUUUGAAUCAAUCAACAGAGUGUAUAGAAAUAUUGUCACAUUAAAUGCAAUCAUUUGGUAUACUGCAGUAAUUGUUUCUUUGGUGAUCGAGAUAACAAGUUUGAUGAACAGUGAGUUGGAAUUGAAAAGCUGUUUUUUUUAUUUGUUGACAGUUAAAUUUUGGUAGAGGAUUAAGAAUAACCUUCAAUGAUGGUUUAUAGAUUGAUUACUAAAUUAGCAUUAGCAAAUGAUGGGUGUUCCUGAUAACAUGCAGUCAGUAUUGAAAACCUGUUUUUUUCUUUGUUGGUAUUUAAAUUUUGGUAGAGGAUUAAGAAUAACCUUCAAUGAUGGUUUAUAGAUUGAUUACUAAAUUAGCAUUAGCAAAUGAUGGGUGUUCCUGAUAACAUGCAGUCAGUAUUGAAAACCUGUUUUUUUCUUUGUUGGUAUUUAAAUUUUGGUAGAGGAUUAAGAAUAACCUUCAAUGAUGGUUUAUAGAUUGAUUACUAAAUUAGCAUUAGCAAAUUAUGGGUUUUCCAGAUACGAUGGCUGUUGGAAUUGGACAAAUUUUAUCUUUAUUGGCAUUUAAAUCUUGCUAGAGAAUUAAAAAUAACCUCCAUGUUAGAUUUUGCAAUACUUAAUAUGUUAUAAACACUGCUAAUUAGGAUAUUAUUUUAUUCAUUCAUUUAUUUAGCUAAUAGUUUAAUACUUUGUUCAUUUAUUUAUGAUUAUAAAUUCUGAUUUCUGAGAUAGAGAAUUAUCAAUUUUUAUGUUAUGAAAUGAUAGUUUAAAUCAUUUGAUUAAUUUACAUUUUUUGAAAAAAUUCUAUUUCCAUUAGAUUAUAUAGAUAAAUUUAUUACAAGAAAUCUAAGAAAAUGAAUUGCAUCAGUUGUCAAAAAAGGACACGAUUUUGAAGCAAAAGAUUUAAUUUCUGAUCCUGUCUCAAUUUUUUUUGAAAAUUCUAAUCAAAGUUCCAAAAUAAUUUCCCGCCUCCUGCGAAGAAACUCCGCUAACCCCCUAACGCGUUCCUGGCCCGCCACUGUAGCUUAUUAUGAUUCGCCACCAUGUACAAGCUAGGUUCCUCCUUAGAUUAUGAUGAGGAUAACGAUUUCUAUUUUGAACACGGUUCACAUGAUAAACGCUUAUACUGUCUACCACAAACUGCAAGGAAAACAAU
rnacentral:lncRNA from 1 species